GAGACUUGACAAGGAGGACCGGGUGAACGUGCGCAGGUUGGGAAGGAAUCCCCAGGACUACCCAGCAGACCCGCAGGCUACCGGAGCGAACCCCCAGAAUCCCACAACACGCAGGGGCAGAGGAAACUCUGCCUCCAAAGCCCCGCCUCCUCAGCCACCAAGUCAGCGUGCACAGAGCCCAGGAGUGCAAACAUGAAGCGUGCAUUGGUGUGUGUGCUGAUGGCUGCCUGGAGCCUUGGAUGUGGCAGCCAGACGGUGCACCAGCCAGCAGAGAAUGUGUACGCCAUGAAAGGCAACUCAGUUACGCUGGACUGCCACUAUGAAAAUUCUGGAAGCUUCGACUACAUCUUCUGGUACAAACAGGACGGGCAGACGGCACCAAAGUCCAUCCUGAGCCUCUUAAUAUUGGAUGAGGGCAAAACUGAGAGCAGCUUUGAAAAGAGGUUGAGCUGCAGCAUCAAUGACACCGCCAAGCGAGCUCCUCUGAAGAUCCAAGACGUGCAGCUGAACGACUCUGCUGUCUUCUACUGCGCCAUCCAGCCCACAAUGACUGACAUCUCUGCUGCACCUGCACAAAAACCUCUGUAGGCUCCUCAUCCCACUAUGGCUGUUUGAGAGCUGGUUCUGAGGAGGUUUUCACAGCUUUUGUCCUUGUCAGGACAUCACAUGGGUGGCGAACUGGAGAUGUUUUUUAUUUACAUACCUUAAUUGUUUCCAAACCGUGUCUCUAACACGGCAGUAAACAGCUGAUCAAACACAACAGAAGUCAUCGUCAUGGACCCACUAGCUGCAGAAGCUAGCUCUCCAUCAGCUAAACAGACUCAAUCAGUCCACGGUGACGUUUUAGUGAAUUUAGUGAGUAAUUUGUGGAACUGAAUCAAUGCAAAUAGGAUGCCGCUGUAAGUUAAUAACACUAACACAAACACCUGUAAAUGUGUAGGCAUACUAGCUAUUGCUAACAAUGCUAGCUUCAUUACAUUACGUAUGAAUAAGCAUUAAAACACUUCUACAGACAUCCCACGUGGGACGGUCAUACUUGCCAACCCUCCCGGACUUUCCGGGAAACUCCCGAAAUUCAGCGCCACUCCCGAAAACCUCCCGGGACAAAUUUUCUCCCGAAAAUCCCCCGAAAUUCCGGCGGAGCUGGAGGCCACGCCCCCUCCAGCUCCAUGCGGACCUGAGUUAUGACAACUUGCUUUCCCACAAUAUAAACAGCGUGCCUGCCCAAUCACGUUAUAACUGUAGAAUGAUCGAGGGCGAGUUCUUGGUUUCUUAUGUGGGUUUAUUGUUAGGCAGUUUCAUUAACGUCCUCCCAGCGCGGUAACAACACACAACAACAGCAGUCACGUUUUCGUCUACCGUAAAGCAGUUCGUCUGCCGUAAACAGCAAUGUUGUGACACUCUUAAACAGGGCAAUACUGCCAUCUACUGUACAUGCAUAUGUGACAAUAACAUCUACGGAUUUUAGAGAGUGCAGUGCACAACUGCGCACACAACAAGGAGACGAAGCAGAAGAACGAGGAAGAUACAGCCAUGGCGACGCCGAGGACGAGUAAGAUGAAGAAAUGCACUUGUAAGUUCCAAGCCGCAGCUACUAUUGGACCUGGAUAGCCUCCGGGAAGAAGUAGUGGACUACCAAGUGCUUGGCAGUGAAGAAAAGAUUGACCGGUUUUGGGCCAUGCUAGGGAGGGAUGGAAGAUUCCAGACUCCAGUGCAUUUGAUGAAAGCACUUUUGUGCGUGCCACACAGCAAUGCAUCAUCAGAGAGGGUGUUCAGCAUGGUUAGAAAAAUAGUGAGAGAGAAUAGAACAAGGAUGGACAAUUCAACCCUUAACUCAACAAUGAGGAGAUGACUGUUA